UUUGUAGUCUUUAAGAAUAUAAAAUCUCAAAGAUGGUCUUAACAAUAAAGCUCUGACACAAAUUGAAAGGUUUCAGGCAAUUAUGGUGGAACCAGCACUAACAUUUUGACUAAUUCUUCUUAAAAAUUAUAGCAUUGUCUGCUAGUCAGAUUAGCAAAGAUUUUACUGGUAAUGGAGAAUCUUUAGUUGUUAAGAAGAAUUUUACCCUAAUUAUUGUUUAAAUUAACUGCGCUAAUGAAAACUAUGUGGCUAGCACAUUUACCAAUCACCUUAACUUAUAAAUCAGUUAUGCCCAAUUUUUUUCAGCCUGGGGACUAUUUAGUUUCUGACACACAGGCUGUGUACUGCAUCCAUGCAAUAAAUCGAGUCCAAUCAAAAUGAGCCUCUCUGCUAUUUUAAUAUGAGUGGGCUGAAGUUUUGAGAGGCCUGAUAGCAAUGUGUCAAAGGUCACAGGCAGCCAGGUGGCUGUAGUUUGAGUUAACUCUACUAAGAUUUUUUUCUAAUUUAGACAACCCCACCAUUUCAUCCUUGAAUAGCAUUCUUAUAUAUAUAAUUUUUAUAUAUUUUUUUAAGCUUCAUUUAUACAUUUAAAAAAAAUAAUAGAAAUUUGUUUAGACAUUACUUCUACUGGCACUGGCUUCA